rnacentral:tRNA from 1 species
GGUCCUAUGGCGCAACGGUAGCGCGUUCGACUCCAGAUCGAAAGGUAAGUUACACCCCGGGGUUUCGAUCCCCUCAUGACACCCUCAUCAUGGUGAUAGGUUGCUGACAGCGCUCAGGUUAUCUGUUCAAAUCAGGUUGGGAUCA